UUGGAGGGCAAGUCUGGUGCCAGCAGCCGCGGUAAUUCCAGCUCCAAUAGCGUAUAUUAAAGUUGUUGCAGUUAAAAAGCUCGUAGUUGAAUUUCGGGAUCAAUAUGUCGGUCGUGCCUUCGGUACGUACUGGUAUCAUUGGUCUCUCCUUUCUGACGAACCAUGAUGUCAUUAAUUUGGUGUUAUGGGGAGUUAGGACUGUUACUUUGAAAAAAUUAGAGUGUUUAAAGCAGGCUUUAGCUUGAAUACAUUAGCAUGGAAUAAUGAAAUAGGACGUUCGAACCUAUUUUGUUGGUUUCUAGGAUCAACGUAAUGAUUAAUAGGGAUAGUUGGGGGCAUUAGUAUUCAAUUGUCAGAGGUGAAAUUCUUGGAUUUAUUGAAGACUAACUACUGCGAAAGCAUUUGCCAAGGAUGUUUUCAUUAAUCAAGAACGAAAGUUAGGGGAUCGAAGACGAUCAGAUACCGUCGUAGUCUUAACCAUAAACUAUGCCGACUAGGGAUCGGAUGAUGUUAAUUUUUUAAUGACUCAUUCGGCGCCUUACAGGAAAC
rnacentral:rRNA from 1 species